rnacentral:rRNA from 1 species
AUGAGGUGGAGAAGGAGGCAGGGGGGGCAGGGGGGUCUCACUUCUGCUGGCGAGCUAGUGAACAAGGAUGGACUACGCGCACAGACGAGGUUGGACAGCGCCAUGGUCGCAGUUGGAUGGGGAAGGGGCCGCAUCUCCUUGAAAAAUUCGAUGGCGGCGCCCUACUGCUACGCAACACCGGCGCCCGCAUGA